GUAUAUAUAAAAGCUGAACCUUGUUCCAACACAGUCACAGCAAUCUGAUACAGAAGUUGCAAGUGCUGCUAUCUCAGCUUCACAGAAACACAGAGGUUCACACAAAAGGAGUUCUCAGAUCCAUAAAACAUGGAGGAUUCAUUGGAGAACUGGAUUUCCGAUCUGUUGUCGCAGGAAAUGGAAGACUAUGAUGCAUUUGAUGAGGAACAGUUCCUGAGAGAGAUCCUUGAGGAGCCACAGAAUUUGUCACCUGAAGGAGAGAAUAACAGUCCCAGCAACAGCAGUGUGUCAUUUGAUGAGGCAAUUGGUGAAACUCUGCAGAAAAGCUACAGUUCCAACUCCAUCAAGUCCUUGAAAACAUCACCACCAUCAUCAUCAUCAGCAUACCUUCUCUCUUUUGAUACUUCAACUGCUGAGCCAAUCGCAAAAGCUAAGCCUUCUGCAAAGCUUGGUUCAUCACUGAAGGGAUCUUGCAGUAAAAGGGGUGGUGCUAUGGUGAAAGAUGGAUCUCAGUUUGAACCGGCCAUGGCUCAGCCAAGAAAGAGGGUUAGAAGGUCUCGUGAGACACAGCAUCACAUCAUUGCUGAGAGGAAAAGGAGACAGGAACUCACAGGGAGCAUCAUAGCACUUUCAGCCACCAUUCCUGGACUCAAGAGGAUGGACAAGGCUUACGUACUCCGUGAAGCAGUGAAUUACACAAGACAACUUCAAGAGAGAGUGAAAGAGUUGGAAAAUAAAAACAGUGAGAAAAGAGUAGUACAUCAUUCAUCAACAUUGGUAAGAAAAUGUGAAGUUUCCGAAAAGAAAAACUUGAGCAAUAGCAGUGAAAGCAACAAAGAAUCACUGUUUGAGGUUGAAGCAAGAGUCCUAGAUGAGGAAAUACUGAUUGGAAUCCAUUGUGAGAAGCAAAAGGACAUAGUCUGCAACAUACUGGCCUUUCUUGAAAAGCUGCAUCUUUCUCCAACCAGUAGCAGUGUAUUACCAUUUGGCACUUGUACUCUUAUAAUCCACAUCAUUGCUCAGAUGGAUGAGGAAUGCAGAAUGAACAUGGAUGAGUUAGUGAAGAAUCUGAGAGAAUAUCUGUUGGAUGUGUAUGACAUGCAGCAAGAAGUGUUUAUGUGAUCAUGACAAUAAAGUCUUCCAUUCUAUCUGAUCAGUUUUUUCAAAACAGAGUGCAAAUUGAGUUCUUUGAGCUGCUAAAGUAGUUUUUUUAUCUCUUAUGUUUAUUUAUAAGGCUUAAGAAGAUUCGUUAAAUUUGAACUGAUGUGCUUUAAUUAGGACAAUUGAUUGAGUUAUGAAGUUAGGAUAUGUAACUUGUUAAAAAACCCAUGAUGUGGUGGUGUGACUUACUUGAUAUUGAUGUAAAUGCACGUUAUUUGAAAUUAAAAAAGUAUUAU